rnacentral:lncRNA from 1 species
GGGGUGAUACAACCUUAAUCCACCACCACCAUCUCCAAUGUAUCACUACUAUUACUUUCAACUUUAUGACCAUAAAUACUACAUUCACUGAGCUAUUUUAUAUACGACUAGCUGUGAUUAAAUUUAUUUUCAGUGUGAUCAUCUAUGAUUUGAUCAGUAUAAUAUGUGACUAUAUAUAAUCGCAUCACAUAUAGUCACAUUAUAAAUAGAGUUGUUCACAUGCUGUUCCGCGGCUGCCACCAUUUCGUCGCCCCCGUCGCCACCGUCAAGAACCAAACGCGCAUCACCUUACUACGACCACAAACAACAGAACCAUUGCCAUUUAGACCACAAAUAGAACCACCCACAGAUCGAAAAAAAUCACCGACACCAUUUACAAAACACUAACAACCAUCCUAAAACAACAGAUCUGAUAAAAAAAAGUCACCCAUCACUAAAAAUUGAUAUACAUUAAAGAAAAUGGGUGCAAUCAGGGCCUUAAGAAUAACUAUUCAUAAUCUAAUCUCACCUUACUAUUCUUCAUUUCUCUGUUCAUUUUUUGCACUUCUUCUGGGAAUUUGCAUUCUCGCUUUCAUUCCCAUUUCUUGUACCAUGAUCCCGUGGACAAGAGAUCAAUUUGGUUGGCGAGAUGGCCGAAAUUUUAGUUAACCCUGAUAGUGAAGCAAGCAGUAACGAUGCCACGAGUAGCCGCUCGUCACUGCAGCUACGAUGGGGAAGCAAGGCGCCGCUUCUCGCGGUAGCAGUGGCCUCUUACCGCGCCGUUGCACCUCUCAUCGUCAUACUAAAACAAGCGGUGUCUGCGCAGCACUAUUGUUGGGGCACUGCUUACGUCGUGGUCUCGAUGGCAGAUGGGCGGUGGUGGGUGAGGUGCGGUGCGUAGAGAAGUAAAGAGAGAGGAGAGAUUACACAGAGAAAAUGGAGAAAACG